rnacentral:lncRNA from 1 species
GGAGGAAGUGAAGUGGAGACUCUGUCCUUUUACCAUUUUUCCUUCUUCUUUUUGGUACCAGGGAUCAAACUGAGGACCUCGUGCUCGCCAGGUGGGCGCUGUGCCACUGAGCUGCACCCCGGCCCUCGUCUGUCCUUUUAGAUGGGGUAGACUUAGUCUGUUCCCAGGCUGAUGUGACUGUGUGGGCAUGGUGAGGACCGAGCACAGGAUGCGGGAGCUGGAACUGCUGAGUGGUGACGGUGGCUCGGUCCCCGGAGGGCUCGCUCAGGUCAGAGGCGACGUGGAGGCUGGGAGGGUACCUGUGGGUUGGAGUCUCCAAGAUGGCACUUGAAAGAAUGAAGAAAAUAAUUCCUUUGGAAAGUACCUGUUGAAAAAAAAAGUAUCCAAAGACCUCUGGGUUGCAGUUCUCCCGUGUCAAGUGUGAAACAGGCCUACAUUAAUUUCUCUUAGAAAUUUCAAAAAACAGUCUUCAAAAACAGAGUGGGAAAACAGAGCAACAGAAAGGGAGGAAAUCUUGACUGUGAGGUUCUCAUGCGACAUCGCCUCAGCUUUUGGUGUGUUCAGCCCCACUGUAGGAGGCUGGACUCAGGCCGCAGCGUGGGCUUCCCACAUCCAGUUCUCUGACCACCCUUCCUGGGUGGGACCCCUCAGCCUCAGUGGGUUUGAUUUCAUGAAACCGAACAGCAGCCAUAUGACUUGACUUCCUAUCCAGGAAUUCUGAGAAGCUGAAGGUACCAGCCAAGAACGCAUAAGUUUCUUGGAAGGAAUUUACACUAGCAUUAUCUCCUGAGACAUUGCAGCAGAUGUCGCCAAGCACUCACUCCCACUACUCCCUGUAAAAUGUAUCAAAUGUUCGUGUAAAAUAUGACAAUAUGAAAAACGCAUCCAAUGGGAGGGGGCUGACAUUGGUGUCCUUGCUCCCAGAACCUCAAGUCUCAGCUGGGGCAGAGGCCGAGGGAGGCUCAGUAACACUCCUUGUCCUCAGUAUGAGGAAGGACUCCUACAGAUGGGCCUGUGCCAGCCACUGAAAUGUUUCCAGGGGCCUCAGUUUCCAC